CGCGUAGGCGGGCUGUCAAGUCUGGGGUGAAAUCCCGCGGCUCAACCGUGGAACUGCCUCAGAUACUGACGGCCUCGAGGGAGGUAGGGGCGAGCGGAACGGGUGGUGGAGCGGUGAAAUGCGUUGAUAUCACUCGGAACUCCGGUGGCGAAGGCGGCUCGCUGGACCUCUUCUGACGCUGAGGCGCGAAAGCUAGGGGAGCAAACGGGAUUAGAUACCCCGGUAGUCCUAGCCCUAAACGAUGGGUACUGGGUAGUAGACUAGACAUGGGUUUACUGCCGCAGCAAAAGUGCUAAGUACCCCGCCUGGGGAGUAUGGUCGCAAGGCUGAA
rnacentral:rRNA from 1 species